rnacentral:rRNA from 1 species
UACGGGGGGGGCAAGCGUUGUUCGGAAUUACUGGGCGUAAAGGGCGCGUAGGCGGCCAGACAAAGUCGAGCGUUAAAUUCCAGGGCUUAACCCUGGGCUGUUGCUCGAUACUAGUCGGCUAGAGUGUGGAAGAGGGUGCUGGAAUUCCCGGUGUAGCGGUGAAAUGCGCAGAUAUCAGGAGGAACACCGGUGGCGAAGGCGGUUCUCUGGGCAUGUCCUGACGCUGAGGAGCGAAAGUGUGGGGAGCGAACAGG